rnacentral:rRNA from 1 species
GAUGAACGCUGGCGGCGUGCCUAAUACAUGCAAGUCGAGCGAACAGACGAGGAGCUUGCUCCUCUGACGUUAGCGGCGGACGGGUGAGUAACACGUGGAUAACCUACCUAUAAGACUGGGAUAAAUUCGGGAAACCGGAGCUAAUACCGGAUAAUAUAUUGAACCGCAUGGUUCAAUAGUGAAAGACGGUUUUGCUGUCACUUAUAGAUGGAUCCGCGCCGCAUUAGCUAGUUGGUAAGGUAACGGCUUACCGAGGCAACGAUGCGUAGCCGACCUGAGAGGGUGAUCGGCCACACUGGAACUGAGACACGGUCCAGACUCCUACGGGAGGCAGCAGUAGGGAAUCUUCCGCAAUGGGCGAAAGCCUGACGGAGCAACGCCGCGUGAGUGAUGAAGGUCUUCGGAUCGUAAAACUCUGUUAUUAGGGAAGAACAAAUGUGUAAGUAACUAUGCACGUCUUGACGGUACCUAAUCAGAAAGCCACGGCUAACUACGUG